ACCUUUGCCAAAACAAACUAGGACUCUAUCUUUCCCUUUCCCACCAAAAUCCCAACUACUUUCCGAAACCCAACAAUUUUCCCACCAAUAACAAAGAACCAUCCUAAAUGGAUCCCUUUUCAUUUUCAUAUUAUUAUUCAAUUCACAUGAAAGAACACAUCAUCACCAACUCAAUGGAUCCCAAAACCGGCUUCAAUUCCAUUUCCAAAACCUUCCACAGUCUCAGACCCCCACUCAACCUUCCUCCACCACACGCCAAUAUCUCCGCCGCAACAUACACCUUCUCCCUCCACCACUCUGACUUCAACUCCGACUCAAACACUCUCCUCAUCGACUCAACAACAUCUCACAAACUCUCUUACUCCACCUUCAUCCAACGCUACAAAACCCUCGCGAAAAACCUCACUCUCCGCGGACUCACCAAACACCACACCUCAUUCAUUCUUUCCCCAAACCUCGUUCAGGUUCCAAUCCUCUACUUCGCAUUGCUCUCCAUUGGCGUCGUUGUUUCACCAACAAACCCAAUCUCCACUCCCUCAGAAAUUUCUCAUCUCGUUAACCUCUCUAAACCGGUUAUCGCUUUUACGACGUCGUUUUUAUCUCACAAACUUCCGAAACAACUCGCUUUAGGAACGAUUCUCAUCGACUCGCCCGAGUUCGAAUCCCUCACCACCGAAACAGAUGUUAGUUCGACGGUGUCGCCGCCGGAGGUCAGUCAAUCCGACGUGGCGGUGAUUCUGUACUCGUCAGGAACCACAGGGAAAUCGAAAGGAGUGAUGCUUACUCAUCGCAACUUGACGGCGACGGUGGCGGCAUACAAUGCCGUUAGGAUUCCGACGGCGAAUCCUGCGGUGUGUUUGUUAACAGUGCCGUGUUUUCACGUGUACGGUUUUACGUACCUUUUGAAGGGUGUGGCUAUGAUGGAAACGGUGGUGAUGAUGGAGAGGUUUGAAUUGGGGAAAAUGUUGGGUGCCGUGGAGAGGUUUAGAGUGACUAAUGUUGCGGUGGCGCCGCCCGUGGUGGUGGCGAUGAGUAAAGAGGGAGUGACGGAUGGGUAUGAUUUGUCAUCGUUAAAAACUGUGGCUUGUGGAGGUGCUCCGUUGGGAAAGGAUAACUUUGUUGCUUUCAUGGCAAAGUUCCCUCAUGCAUCUAUUAUCCAGGGAUAUGGUUUAACUGAAUCAACAGCCGGUGUUAUCCGAAUAGUAGGUCCUGAGGAGGCUAGCCGGGGAGGAACUACAGGGAAGCUGGUAUCAGGGAUGGAAGCUAAAAUAGUGAACCCAAACACAGGAGAGGCCAUGUCUCCUGGUGAACAAGGGGAACUUUGGGUUAGAGGACCUCCAAUUAUGAAAGGUUAUGUUGGUGAUCCAGUGGCAACUUCUGUUACUUUAGUGGAUGGAUGGUUGAGAACCGGUGAUAUUUGCUAUUUUGACAAUGAAGGUUUCGUGUAUGUUGUAGACAGGUUGAAAGAAUUGAUCAAAUAUAAAGGCUACCAGGUGGCUCCUGCAGAGCUGGAACAAUUGCUCCAAUCUCACCCAGAGAUAAAAGAUGCUGCAGUUAUCCCAUACCCUGAUGAGGAUGCUGGCCAGAUUCCCCUAGCUUUUGUGAUAAGGCAGCCUCACAGCUCCAUGGGUGAAGCCGAAAUAAUAAAUUUUGUAGCCAAACAGGUUGCACCAUACAAGAAGGUAAGGCGUGUGGUAUUUGUCAAUUCUAUACCAAAGAAUGCAACAGGAAAAAUACUGAGGAAGGACUUGUUGAAUAAAAUUCUUCUCCAACGAACUUUCCCUAGGUUAUAAUAUCUUUCGACGAUAAUAAUGAUGAGAAUAACGACGACAAUUCUAAAGGGAAAAUUUAGAGGUGAGACUAUGGGGGAAAUUGAGGUUGUUUCACUGGAACUUGCAUAGAAUCGUCAAAAAUAGAAAAAUGGUGAUGUCAAUGGAAAUUCUAGAGAGGUAUUAUCUUUCAUAUUUCGUAAAAUAUAAUUGUUGAUGAAGCUACACUGCUUGCAUGGACUUUAUGGAAGCAAAGGAAUAACAUAGUAUGGAAUACUGUGAUUGCUGCUCAAUCUUAUGUUGUUGAACGAUAAUGCUCAUGAUGGUCGAUGGAAGACAUGUUGUCAGAUGGAGUAAGCCAUCAUCAGGAAGGGUAAACUGUAAUAUUAUACUUCUUUUUCCUCCUUUCACAACAUAAUGAUUUUCUCCAUUUAUGAUGUACAUGUUGGAGAAGCUCGUGGCUUACUUUCAACUCUUACUUCUUUUUCCUCCUUCAUUUUUUUAAAGAAAUUUCAUAAGUUUUUCAUUUUCUUAAUUUCCAUUUCAGCAAAGGUAGUGGGUUAUUUUUUUUACUAGUUUUGGAAUUUUUAGGUUAUGCUUGUGUUAGAGGACAAACAAAUAAGAUAGUUUAAUAGUUAAAGUUUCCUUAUCUCACCAUAG